AGAGCAGCAGCUCCACUAGGCACCAUUCUGGAAACCGAGAGGUCAACGUCCCACACAGAGAGCAAUCUCCAACAGUUGUGCAUAACAGGCAAAAGAAUUUUAGAAGCAGUAUUCACUGAUAAAGAGAAUCACCAGCAAGGCUACAGAUAAUCAUCUGUGGGAAGUGGAAUUCCUUGACUUUGUUUACAGCCUCCAACAAUCAAGGUCCUGGAGUUUAUCAGGAUGUCUCUGGUGUGGCAGCCACCAUCCACUGAAGGCAGCCUCCAGUAACCUCUGCAGGAAACUGCCAUUAACAAGUCAGACGUGUCCAGGAACUGAAGUCUGGAAAAGCUUCUUACUUCAAGAUCUUUACACAGUGUUUUCCUAAACUGGGAAGCUGACCUUUGUCUCUUGGAGUUAUUCUAGACAUUGCUGACAUCGUCAGCUGUCCAACAACUUUGAGAAAAUCAGUUCAUCCACAGCUUCUGCACCAGCUACUUGCAUGGGAGAAGGACACUAUUAAAAUUCUCCCUGGAGAGCUGCUGAAUUUAGAACAGUGAAAAAAACCAGGAUGGUGCUGGGGAAAAGGAUUUUCUUCUAGUGGGAAAAAUGCUCAGAAGAACUUUUGUGACAGUGUAAGUGAGACAAAAAGGUUUUAGUUUCCUUGCUGAAGGCUUUUGGCAGCAAAAGAUGAGAACUCUGCACUGCAUGCUUCAAAUAUGAGAGAAAACUGAACUGUGGAAGGGUCUAUUAUUUUUUAUUGUCUAUAAAAAUGACUGAAGGUGACUUGUCUAGGUGUCAGCUUGUACACUGCUGGCAUCUGCAGACAGUUGCAACUCAUGUCAAAAUAUACAUUUCAAGAUGGUAACAGCAGUGACAGAAUAGUUUUAUUAACCAUUAAUGAUUUUAAAUAUUUAUAAAUAAAGAGUAUACAUAACAUAAAGAGAGCAAUAAAAUAGUACAUAUACACAAAAACUGCAAAACCUCUCUUUUAUCAGUAAGUUACACACUUGGCAUGGAAAUUGGUAUGUUAGUCCCUGGCCUACUACAAGUACAAAACAGUAUGUUUUGGAUAAAGGGCUAGGGUGAAAAGGAAGAGAGAAUGGAAGGAAAGAAAGAAAGAGAGAGGGAAAUUUACAUUCUGUUAUUGAA